rnacentral:rRNA from 1 species
UCGGGUUGUAAACUCGCUUUUGUACGGAACGAAACGGUCUGGGUUAAUACCUCGGGCUAAUGACGGUACCGUAAGAAUAAGCACCGGCUAACUACGUGCCAGCAGCCGCGGUAAUACGUAGGGUGCAAGCGUUAAUCGGAAUUACUGGGCGUAAAGCGUGCGCAGGCGGUGAUGUAAGACAGGNCGUGAAAUCCCCGGGCUCAACCUGGGAAUUGCGNAUUGUGACUGCAUCGCUGGAGUGCGGCAGAGGGGGAUGGAAUUCCGCGUGUAGCAGUGAAAUGCGUAGAUAUGCGGAGGAACACCGAUGGCGAAGGCAAUCCCCUGGGCCUGCACUGACGCUCAUGCACGAAAGCGUGGGGAGCAAACAGGAUUAGAUACCCUGGUAGUCCACGCCCUAAACGAUGUCAACUGGUUGUUGGGUCUCUUCUGACUCAGUAACGAAGCUAACGCGUGAAG